rnacentral:rRNA from 1 species
AUUGAACGCUGGCGGCAGGCUUAACACAUGCAAGUCGAGCGGAGAGAGGUAGCUUGCUACUGAUCUUAGCGGCGGACGGGUGAGUAAUGCUUAGGAAUCUGCCUAUUAGUGGGGGACAACAUUUCGAAAGGAAUGCUAAUACCGCAUACGUCCUACGGGAGAAAGCAGGGGAUCUUCGGACCUUGCGCUAAUAGAUGAGCCUAAGUCGGAUUAGCUAGUUGGUGGGGUAAAGGCCUACCAAGGCGACGAUCUGCAGCGGGUCUGAGAGGAUGAACCGCUACACUGGGAAGGAGAGACGGCCGGCCUCCUACGGGAGAGAGCAUGUGGGAAUAUUGGACAAUGGGCGCAAGCCUGAUCCAGCCAUGCCGCGUGUGUAAAGAAGGCCUUAUGGUUGUAAAGCACUUUAAGCAAUGAGGAGGCUAUUUUAGUUAAUACCUAGAGAUAGUGGACGUUACUCGCAGAAUAAGCACCGGCUAACUCUGUGCCAGCCGCCGCCGUAAAAC